AUACGAAGGGUGCGAGCGUUAAACGGAAUUACUGGGCGUAGAGCGCGCGUAGGCGGUUGGAUAAGUCGGAUGUGAAAGCCCCGGGCUCAACCUGGGAAUUGCAUUCGAAACUGUCCGGCUAGAGUAUGGUAGAGGGAAGCGGAAUUCCACAUGUAGCGGUGAAAUGCGUAGAUAUGUGGAGGAACACCAGUGGCGAAGGCGGCUUCCUGGACCAAUACUGACGCUGAGGUGCGAAAGCGUGGGGAGCAAACAGGAUUAGAAACCCUAGUAGUCC
rnacentral:rRNA from 1 species